GCCUUCAUGGAUCAUGGAGAUCGCCUCGACUUUAUCAUAUGCGAGUCCCAGCAGUUAUCGAGGAGGUGGAGGUUUGAUUCCUCCUGGAGGCA